rnacentral:rRNA from 1 species
GGCCUAACACAUGCAAGUCGAGCGGAAACGAUGGGAGCUUGCUCCCAGGCGUCGAGCGGCGGACGGGUGAGUAACACGUGGGAAUCUGCCCAUUAGUGGGGGAUAACUCGGGGAAACUCGAGCUAAUACCGCAUAAUCCCUACGGGGGAAAGCAGGGGAUCUUCGGACCUUGCGCUGAUGGAUGAGCCCGCGUCGGAUUAGCUUGUUGGUGGGGUAAUGGCCCACCAAGGCGACGAUCCGUAACUGGUCUGAGAGGAUGGCCAGUCACACCGGGACUGAGACACGGCCCGGACUCCUACGGGAGGCAGCAGUGGGGAAUCUUGGACAAUGGGCGCAAGCCUGAUCCAGCCAUGCCGCGUGUGUGAAGAAGGCCUUCGGGUUGUAAAGCACUUUCAGUAGGGAGGAAGGCUUUGGGCUAAUACCCUGGAGUACUUGACGUUACCUACAGAAGAAGCACCGGCUAAUUUCGUGCCAGCAGCCGCGGUAAUACGAAAGGUGCGAGCGUUAAUCGGAAUUACUGGGCGUAAAGCGCGCGUAGGCGGUGUGUUAAGUCGGAUGUGAAAGCCCAGGGCUCAACCUUGGAAUUGCAUCCGAUACUGGCACGCUAGAGUGCAGUAGAGGGAGGUGGAAUUUCCGGUGUAGCGGUGAAAUGCGUAGAGAUCGGAAGGAACACCAGUGGCGAAGGCGGCCUCCUGGACUGACACUGACGCUGAGGUGCGAAAGCGUGGGGAGCAAACAGGAUUAGAUACCCUGGUAGUCCACGCCGUAAACGAUGUCUACUAGCCGUUGGGGUCCUUAGUGACUUUGGUGGCGCAGCUAACGCGAUAAGUAGACCGCCUGGGGAGUACGGCCGCAAGGGUUAAAACUCAAAUGAAUUGACGGGGGCCCGCACAAGCGGUGGAGCAUGUGGUUUAAUUCGAUGCAACGCGAAGAACCUUACCAG